rnacentral:lncRNA from 1 species
AAAUGGAUAGCAUCACGAGCUUUUUUUAAUAUGUUAGCUAAUAGUUUUUCUGUUUGAACAUGCUUAAGAGUGGUUUUUUUCUUCUAUUAGUUCCCUUAUGAAAUUAUGUUGAAUGUUAAUAUGUAUGGUUCUCCUAUGUUGGACAUGAUUUUUGGAAAUAUUGUUAGACAUCAAGUUGUCAUAGUAUAGUGUCAUGACAUAUUGUGUCACAUUACUCUUUAAGAAUUUGUUUCAUCCAUAAAUAUUG